AGUUUUGGUGUUUGGUUGUGUAGUAUCUUAUUAGUCUCAUUUGCUCUGACUGCAUUAGGCAGGUAUUGUGUGGAGCUGGUUAGCUGCUUGGCUUGUGGGGUAAUUGCUCAGUCAUCAGCUGCUAUUCAUUUGGUAAUUAGGGCUUGUAGUCUGGCUUGGAGCGACGCUAGCGUCGCUCCCUCCCAGUUAGUGUUAUUGCAUCUCUAUCCUUCUGCCAUCACCCUUCCUAUCACUACUCCCUGUCCUCACUGCUAUGCUAUGUGUCAACCCCAUCCCAACCUGUUCUCUCCCCUACAGAACUCGCUUCCGCAGGCGAGGCGACGGAACCUCUCCAACCUUCGCUAUCCCUCAUUGACCCUCUGUGACAACUUCACAGUCGCAGGAGGGCUAUGGAACUGCCAGUCUGCUACGUGGAAGGCUGACUUCAUUUCAGCCUACGCGUCCCUCCUCUCUUUACAUUUCCUUGCCCUCACUGAGACCUGGAUCACACCAGGCAACACUGCAACCCCUGCAGCCCUCUCCUCCUCCUUCUCCUUCUCUCACACCCCCCGCCCAUCUGGCCGUGGUGGGGGCACAGGGCCCCUGGGAAGCUUCCUCGAUGAGCUCGACACCCUGCUGAGCUCCUUCCCAGAGGAUGGCACCCCACUGAUCCUCCUGGGAGACUUCAACAUCCACCUUGAUGCCUCCCACUCCGCAGCCUUCCUGCCCCUACUCCACUCAUUCGAUCACUCCCUGAUGCACUCCCCACCAACACACAAAGCUGGCAACCUCCUAGACCUGGUCAUCCUGAGGAAUUGCUCUUCCUCCGAUCCCACAGUGACCCCUCUGCACCUCUCGCUUCUAGUGUCACUGCUUCACUCCCCACUCUUGAAUCCUUCUCCAACCUUCCCACUGACUCUGCAUCCUCCGCUCUGUCUUCCUCGCUUUCCUCAGCACUUGACUGUCUCUGUCCUCUAGUCUCCAGGCCGGCACGCUCGUCCCCUCCCAGUCCGUGGAUGUCUGACCCCCUCCGAACCAACCGGGCCAGCCUACUUGCAGCGGAGAGGAAGUGGAGGAAAUCCAUGGCUCAAUCCGACCUGUCUGCCUACCAGUCUAUGCUAGCUACAUUUUCUACCUCUGUAACCUCUGCUAAAAUUAAUUAUUAUCAAACAAAAAUUCAUAAAUCUGCCUCUAACCCUCAUCAACUGUUCUCCAUUUUCUCUUCUCUCCUCAGCACUCCUCCUUCCCCACCUCAGUCCUCCCUCGCUGCAGAUGACUUCGCAGUUUUCUUCGAUGAGAAGAUUGCAGACAUCUGCAGCUACUUCACGUCCACCGCCACCCUUCCCCACUCCCCGUCUCUGUUCCCUCCCCUUGUUUCUCCACUUUCUCUCCCCUCACUGACUCUAAUGUUUCCCAGCUCCUACUCUCCCACCGCCCUACCACCAGUGCUCUUGACCCCAUCCCUUCCUCUCUCCUCCAGACUAUCACACCUGACAUCCUCCCAUUUGUCACCUCCCUUGUGAACUCCUCCUUGUCCUCUGGAUGUUUCCCCUCUUCUUUCAAGCUGGCCCACAUCACCCCACUGCUGAAAAAGCCCACUCUGGAUCCCUCUGUCAUCUAGAACUACCGUCCUGUUUCCCUUCUCCCUUUCUUAUCCAAAACAAUUGAACGAGCUGCUUCUAACAAACUCUCCUCUUUUCUCUUAUUGAAGAACCUCCUAGACCCCCACCAGUCCGGCUUCAGACCUGGCCACUUGUACAGAGACCGCACUCCUCUCGGUCAGUGCGCUUCACGCCGCACAAGCAGCCUCCCAUUCAUCUGUCCUGAUCCUCCUAGACCUUUCUGCUGCCUUCGACACAGUCAACCACCCCAUCCUCCUGUCCUCCCUGGCAGCUAUGGGGAUCUGUGGCACAGCACUAGACUGGAUCGACUGCCACAGGAGUUCCCCAGGGCUCAGUCCUUGGUCCCCUCCUAUUCUCCCUGUACACCCAAUCUCUUGGUCCUGUAAUCUCUGCCCAUGGGUUGUCCUAUCAUUGUUAUGCCGAUGACACCCAACUCUUUCUCUCCUUCCCCCCCUCUGACACACAGGUCUCCGCUUGCAUCUCUGCUUGCCUGAGGGACAUCCAAAGCUGGAUGGAUAACCAUCAUCUUAAGCUGAACCCAGGUAAGACAGAGAUGAUCUUCAUCCCUGCUCCAUCCUCUAACCUCCUUGACUUUUCCACUUCCCUAGGGGACACCGUGGUGUCAUCAUCACCCACCGCAAAAAACCUUGGAGUGGUGAUGGACAACAGACUGUCCCUCUCCCAGAACAUCACGGCGGUGAGUCGAACGUGCAGGUUCUUCCUGUGCAACAUCCGGAGAAUCCGCCCCUUCCUCACCACCUACGCAACCCAGCUCCUGGUUCAAGCGAUGGUCCUGUCCCGCCUGGACUACUGCAACUCGCUGCUGGCUGGUCUGCCGGCAUCCGCCAUCGGACCCUUGCAGCUCAUCCAGAAUGCUGCAGCGCGUCUGGUCUACAACCUCCCCAGACAUUCCCAUGUCACCCCCCUGCUCACUGACCUCCACUGGCUACCUGUUAUGGCUCGCAUCAAAUUUAAACCUUGGUGCUUGCAUACCAGGCAGCUAAGGGGUCAGCACCAGGCUACAUCCAGAGGAUCAUCAGACCCUACACACCAGCCAGACUUCUCCGUUCUGCCACCUCUGGACGCUUGGCACCUCCCCCUCUUCGUGUCUGUACUUCCCGCUCCCGUCUGCUGUCUGUCCUGGCCCCUCGCUGGUGGAAUGACCUCCCUGUGACGGUCAGAACAGCAGAGAAUCUGACUACCUUCAAACGCAGACUAAAGACUCAUCUCUUCAGGCUGCACCUCUAGGCUAAUACGAUCACGUUAGUUUUUAUUUGGCAGGAUUGUUUUUGUCUGAUUCUGAUUAGGCAAAUGUGAUUUCAGUGCUAGUUUGUACUUGGCAGGAUUGUUUGUUUGUUUGCUGAACAGGUUACUCUACAGGGUUGGAGUCCUGAUCUAUGUGGCCACUUCUGGCACUACGAUCUUUACUUAACUCUAGUAUGUUUCUUUUGCACCUCUGCACCUUGAACUAAUGCACUUGUUGUACGUCGCUCUGGAUAAGAGCGUCUGCUAAAUGCCUGUAAUGUAAUGUAAUGUAAUGUACAAUGUUGUGAUGUGAACACAGCGUUAAUAUCGUUAGCUAACGCCCAUAGAUACUUGUUCAUUCUACAGUCAAUAUCUGUGACUAAAUAUUGAAUAAACAUACAACCUUA